rnacentral:rRNA from 1 species
AGGAGAGUUUGAUCCUGGCUCAGGAUGAACGCUGGCGGCGUGCUUAACACAUGCAAGUCGAACGAAGCAACUUAUCACGAUCCCUUCGGGGUGACGAUUUGUUGACUGAGUGGCGGACGGGUGAGUAACGCGUGGGUAACCUACCUUGUACAGGGGGACAACAGUUGGAAACGACUGCUAAUACCGCAUAAGCGCACAGCUUCGCAUGAAGCAGUGUGAAAAGUUUUUCGGUACAAGAUGGACCCGCGUCUGAUUAGCUAGUUGGUGAGGUAACGGCCCACCAAGGCGACGAUCAGUAGCCGACCUGAGAGGGUGACCGGCCACAUUGGGACUGAGACACGGCCCAAACUCCUACGGGAGGCAGCAGUGGGGAAUAUUGCACAAUGGGCGAGAGCCUGAUGCAGCGACGCCGCGUGAGCGAAGAAGUAUUUCGGUAUGUAAAGCUCUAUCAGCAGGGAAGAUAAUGACGGUACCUGACUAAGAAGCACCGGCUAAAUACGUGCCAGCAGCCGCGGUAAUACGUAUGGUGCAAGCGUUAUCCGGAUUUACUGGGUGUAAAGGGAGCGUAGGCGGUUUUACAAGUCUGAUGUGAAAGCCCGGGGCUCAACUCCGGUAUUGCAUUGGAAACUGUAGAACUAGAGUGUCGGAGGGGUAAGUGGAAUUCCUAGUGUAGCGGUGAAAUGCGUAGAUAUUAGGAGGAACACCAGUGGCGAAGGCGGCUUACUGGACGAUUACUGACGCUGAGGCUCGAAAGCGUGGGGAGCAAACAGGAUUAGAUACCCUGGUAGUCCCCU